rnacentral:rRNA from 1 species
UACGUAGGGACUGAGCGUUGUCCGGAUUCAUUGGGCGUAAAGAGCUCGUAGGCGGCCACUCAAGUCGAAUGUGAAACCUCGAGGCUUAACCUCGAGCCUGCAUUCGAUACUGGGCGGCUAGAGUCUGGUAGGGGGAUCUGGAAUUCCUGGUGUAGCGGUGGAAUGCGCAGAUAUCAGGAGGAACACCGGUGGCGAAGGCGGGAUCCUGGGCCAGUACUGACGCUGAGGAGCGAAAGCGUGGGGAGCAAACAGG